rnacentral:rRNA from 1 species
GAGGGAAUAUUGCGCAAUGGGCGAAAGCCUGACGCAGCAACGCCGCGUGAGGGAUGACGGCCUUCGGGUUGUAAACCUCUUUCAGGAGGGACGAAAUUGACGGUACCUCCAGAAGAAGCACCGGCCAACUACGUGCCAGCAGCCGCGGUAAUACGUAGGGUGCAAGCAUUGUCCGGAUUUAUUGGGCGUAAAGAGCUCGUAGGCGGCUUAACAAGUCGGUCGUGAAAUACCGAGGCUCAACCUCGGGGAGUCGGUCGAUACUGUUAUGGCUAGAGUACGGUAGAGGAGAGUGGAAUUCCCGGUGUAGCGGUGGAAUGCGCAGAUAUCGGGAGGAACACCAGUAGCGAAGG